rnacentral:rRNA from 1 species
GGAUGAACGCUGGCGGCGUGCCUAACACAUGCAAGUCGAACGAUGAAACCGCCCUCGGGCGGACAUGAAGUGGCGAACGGGUGAGUAACACGUGACCAACCUGCCCCCCUCUCCGGGACAACCUUGGGAAACCGAGGCUAAUACCGGAUACUCCCUCCCCUGCUCCUGCAGGGGUCGGGAAAGCCCAGGCGGAGGGGGAUGGGGUCGCGGCCCAUUAGGUAGUAGGCGGGGUAACGGCCCACCUAGCCCGCGAUGGGUAGCCGGGUUGAGAGACCGACCGGCCACAUUGGGACUGAGAUACGGCCCAGACUCCUACGGGAGGCAGCAGUGGGGAAUUUUGCGCAAUGGGGGAAACCCUGACGCAGCAACGCCGCGUGCGGGACGACGGCCUUCGGGUUGUAAACCGCUUUCAGCAGGGAAGAAAUUCGACGGUACCUGCAGAAGAAGCUCCGGCUAACUACGUGCCAGCAGCCGCGGUAAUACGUAGGGAGCGAGCGUUAUCCGGAUUCAUUGGGCGUAAAGAGCGCGUAGGCGGCCUCUCAAGCGGGAUCUCUAAUCCGAGGGCUCAACCCCCGGCCGGAUCCCGAACUGGGAGGCUCGAGUUCGGUAGAGGCAGGCGGAAUUCCCGGUGUAGCGGUGGAAUGCGCAGAUAUCGGGAAGAACACCGAUGGCGAAGGCAGCCUGCUGGGCCGCAACUGACGCUGAGGCGCGAAAGCUAGGGGAGCGAACAGGAUUAGAUACCCUGGUAGUCCUAGCCGUAAACGAUGGAUACUAGGUGUGGGGGGCUCCGCCCUCCGUGCCGCAGCCAACGCAUUAAGUAUCCCGCCUGGGGAGUACGGCCGCAAGGCUAAAACUCAAAGGAA